GAUCAGUGCCCGAGUUUCUGUCUCAGCUGCCAUUCUUGAAGACCUUAAACUUAAGUGGAAAUAUGCUCACAGGUUCAGUACCAGUUGAACUUACUGAAAGAUCACAAAAGGGUUCCAUAUCAUUAAGUGUAGACGGAAAUCCAAAUCUUUGUUCUGAAGCUUCUUGCACAGAGAAAAGA